CUGCAGUAAAUGCUUCCUCUCUUCAACAGAGACCGGCAGCGAGCUAGCUCUCUACUUGUAGAGCAUUGCGAGCAUUGCCAUAUUCUCGAAAGGAUGUUGAAGGAUAGCUCUUCGUUGUCAAGAUGAAUUCACAACCACUGUUUCAGUUUAUAGUAACGAAUCGACGAAAUACAGGUUUAGAUUUGUAUUUUUGUGUUAAAAUCACAGUAUCUUUUUAUUAUUCUUGCCUUACUUUUUUAUUGUUUUGUAAAUAAUUCUUUGGAUAAUUAACCCCCAAGUUGUGGAUGAUCUUGGUAAUCCGUGUCUUGAGGUUAAUCCUAGUCUAUAUGUGUUUAUUGAUCAUAUUUUUUCUAACUUGUUUAUUGUCCAAGUUUAUUGAUCACAGUUUAUUGUCAUGUCUCUAACUUGUUUAUUGAUCAUAUUUUUUCUUUAUUGACCAAGUAUUUCUCUGUUUUUAACCCUUAGUUUGGAAAAGGGAAGACUAUGCAUAAAAUAAAAAUUCGAAGUAUAUGAACAUUUGGCAGCUCUUGGAAUCGGUGUGGACUUCCCCUGCACUGUGUUUGGUAUCCGAUGAAGGGAACAGAUUGGUGUGGAGUGGACAUAGGGAUGGGAAGAUUAGGUGUUGGCACAUGGAUCAUCAUCACAGUUUGGAUAUGGAUAAUAACAACUCCACGAAUCACUUUAAGGAAAGCUUGUCUUGGCAAGCUCAUCGCGACCCUGUUCUUUCCCUUACCUUCACAUCUUAUGGUUAUCUUUCAUUCUUCAGUAUUGACUUUACUGCUUUGCUAUUAUUAUACUUUGGAAUUUUGAUUAUAAGCUAUUUUAAAUACAAAAUACUCUUACCCUAACUAGUCGGUGUUAAUUGGGAUGUUAAGUUUAUGAAAGUUUUAGUUUAGUUAUUUAGGUUACUAGUACUGUAAAUAUGAAAGAAAUUCUGAUAAAUUGGCAGUGGGACUUGUUGUUCAUUGGUUGAUUCACGUGCUUGUUGUGAAUGUGAUACGUUGUUAUCCUUUUUUCCUUUAUUGUGUUAAUCCAAGGGAUCUGUGGUCGGGUUCAGAAUGAGGAGCUAUAAAGAUAUGGCCUUGGGAGGCUAUUGAAAAAUCUAUCCUUCUGGCGAAGGAGGAAAGGCACAUGGCUGCCAUAACGGCAGAGAGGUCCUAUGUUGAUUUGAGAAGCCAGCUAUCUACAAAUGGCUUCAGUAACAUGCUAACUUCAGAUGUAAAGUACUUAGUAUCUGAUAAUUCAAGAGCGAAGGUGUGGAGUGCUGGCUAUUUUUCAUUUGCUUUGUGCAUUUUGGCAGCUGUUGGCCAGAAAAUGGCAAGUACUCCUGGAGUUAGUGCUACCCUUUUUAAUACAUUGGCUAAGGGCAUGUUAGGGAAUAAAAGAAAAAGAAGGUGUUAUAUGCCCCACUUAGCAUUGUGGUACGUGAAAACCCCUAGUUACUCUGCUCAAAGAUGAGGACCUUUUUAUGUCUUGGCAUUAGAGCAGUCUUUGGAUUCAGGAAAAUCUAUUGCCUUUUCUGAUGGUCUUGUUAUUAAUGGCUAGGCUCAUACUACCUUAAAUGGUGACUAGGGUUGGUCCUAUUAAAAGAAUAUAACUCAACUAUUUUUAAAUUUUAAGUGACCCAUUUUUAGUUAAAAUAAUCUUUAGUGUUUGUAAAUUCUAAGUCUUAU